GAGGACCAGGGCAGAAGGGCAGCAAAGGAGACAAAGGAGAAUCAGGCCCCUCAGGACCAACCGGUGGCCAGGGGCCGAUGGGGCAGUCAGGAGUUCCUGGUGUGGAUGGGGAGUCAGGUCCCAGGGGCCAGCAGGGAAUGUACGGUGCCAAGGGAGACGAGGGUCUCCGGGGUUUCAAGGGCUCCAAAGGACCCAUCGGACUACAGGUGA